CACGAAACCCUAGCCCUCCCUCCCCGGCCUGUCUCGCCCGCAGCCACGCCGCCGCCUCGCCCUUUGCACGCGCCAUGGCCGCCGCAUCCUCGCCCUCCUCCAGCCAUCAUCGUCGCGCCGCUGCCACCAAUAAGGGAGGCCGUGGCAUCAGCUAGUGAUGGCCCCGCGUCUGUCGCCCGCGGCGAGACGCGCUCUCCGCUCCGGUCAGUGCGGCGCCAAAUCCACCUCGGGGACAUCGGCUGUCUCGCUGCGGUAGAAGGAGGUGGUAGGACCAUUGGGGGUUGAACAGUGAUUGCUAGGAGAUCGAGGAGGAUAAGGAAGGAGAAGAGCACAGCUCAGUUACGGCUGCCACGACGAUAGCUGCUGGUCGGCGACAACUACGGCAAGGCCAUCGCCCAGUGCCACACGUGCCGCUGUACAUGUCACCACGCCGUCCUCUCUUGCUCCACUAGAAUCUCCUCAUCUCCUCUCCGUCCUCUUCAGGAAUGGCCAAUUCGUCACUGAUUAUUUUCUUGACGUUCAUGAUUCCUAACACUAUGAAUGGAUGAGUGACAAGUUUGACAAUGAGUUUUGCCUACAUUAUGCAUGAAUCUAAAAAGUCCACCUACAUAAUUCAUCAAGCCUACAGGUGCUCUCCUACGAUAUCUCACAAGGAUUUAGGGUCUAGUGAAAUCUAUUCAUGUAUUGUGACCUGAAAAAUUAAUCAAGGAUUGCUCUUUACCGAUGAAGAUAACAUACGGAAAUAUGCCAAGCUUGCAAAGUUGAUUUGAUUGAUAAGAAAUCCAUGUCCCAUUAUCAAUGCGUUCAAGAGUCAAGAAUCUGUGCUGGUAAUGGGUACUACAUGAACUUUUCUGCAACUACAGGUUUCAAGCAUUUGCUCCCUUUCUGUUCUAUGCACUUUCCAAAUUUAUCAAGGCAAGCACAUGGAUCAUGGACGUUAUGUACUAAUGUACAUAUUUGCCAAACUAUCGCCUUUCUAAAUAUGGAACUUUUCAUGUUUCAGAAUUUAGGUAAGAUUUAGGGUUGCCACUUAUAUUUAGUGAUCAGUACAAAUUCAAAGUUUUGUCAUUUUUCUUUGGUGCAUCAUAGGUCAAUUGAGAUUCAUUCUUGCCAAGCUUUCAUCAAAAUUCUGACAGCUUGUGUUUUACACCUACCUGUUUUUUCUAUGUUUACUUACAAGCAUGAAUAUUGGUAGAGAAGAAUAGUACUAUAGUUUGCUCAUAUAAGUAAACCAGGAUAUGAGAUGAUUUGGUGUGGCCUGAGACAAAGCUGAAUUAAUCAGCAAGUUUUUAAUCAAUUAUUCUUGCUAAAGGCACUUUGAGAAGUUGUUUUCAGUUUGACAAAAAUAAUAAAGAAAACAACAAGAAGAAAAGUUGUUUAAAGUUAUUUAAGUAAAGUUGUGAGCUAUUAUGUGAUAGUGCAUCAAAUAUUUGUAAGAUAGAUGUAGCCGGUUACUCUGAAAAGUAAAAUUGAAUGAAUCAAUGCCCAUCUUUCGUUUUUUCUGUUCUUUAAUUUAUAUUUUUUAGCGCAUAUAAUCCUUUAUGUUGUCGAUUGCACAAUAUAAAAUAAUGGAACUUUACCAAUGCCCUGCAGGUGAAAACUUUACAUUAUAGUUCAUCAUUCUAUCUGACAGCUAAUAAGACUUUUAGAGCUCCUUCAAUUACUACUCAAGCUUCCGUGUAGCCAUGCCAAUAGGAUUAGCAAUGAAGAUUCCCACGCAUGCUCACACAUAUGCAUGGGAAAACUCAUGUGGUUCCGAAACUAAUGUUGCAUCAUAUAUCUCAAUUAAAUCAAGUUAACUGUAUACUGAGCUUGAUGUUGCAUAUGCAUUGUCUUGAACGAUUUGUCUAUUGCGGAUUUGCGGUUUGCCAUAUAUGAAAUGGUUCUUGAAUGCAUCAGAAGUCUCUGUCUUUUUUUUCCUAUGCAUUGUUAGGCAUCGUUCGUUUAGGGGUGAUAGGGGAGAUUGGCUCUCGUUUUUCGCGCGCACGCUUUUCAAAUUACUAAACGGUGCGUUUUUUGCAAAAAAUUUCUAUGGGAAAGUUGUUUUAAAAAAUCAUAUUAAUCCAUUUUUAAAAUUUAAAAUAGUUAAUACUCAAUUAAUCAUGAGCUAAUGGCUCACCUCGUUUUGCGUAUCUUCCCAAUCUCCUCAAUCCCCUUAGUCUAUGGACAGCGCUACGCUGCGCGCGUUUAUUGCUAGUAUUAUUAAGGGGCGCGGAUUGGGGCGAUGGCGGCGCGGGCCACGUCACCUCUUUUUCCUCCCGCCGUCCGAUCAGGCGUGGGCGGCUGGGAUUGAGGCGCGCGGUGUAAAUUUUGCGAAAAUCCUCCGGUUUAUGCGUAAUUCGAUUUAAGUCCCUUCGGAACAGUAGCUAUGAGGUGCUAUUUUACGUAUAGGCCCUUACAAAAUCCUCAUAUUCCACGAUAAGGAGAGAAAAAAUCGAGAAUAAGGACUGUGCUGUAAACAGUGAAAACCGAGGGACUUUUUCGCAAAAUGUCGCCCACUAACCCCAAACCCUAGCCGCCGCCCGCAUCCUCUCCUCCCUCCCGUCUCACCCUCUCCCUCUCCCUUUCCUUCUCCCGGCGCCGCCACCUCCGCCUCACGCCGUCCCCGUCUCCUCGCGCCGCCGCCUCCUCCUCCGCCGCCACCGUCGUCAUGUCCUCGUCUCCGUCUCCGCCUCCGCCUCGCGCCGCCGCACGCCGCCACCGCCGCGAGAGGAGCUAUCGGAAGCGCCGCCCCGGAGGAGGAGGAAGAGAGGCGAGAGAGCGGAGGACGGAGAGGGAUCCGGCAAGAUGGGAGUCCUGGCGUUCUACCGGUGGCUGGCGGACCGGUACCCGCAGACGGUGUCGGACGCGGUGGAGGAGGAGCCCGUGGAGCUCGAGCCUGGCGCCUUCGUCCCCGUCGACCUCCGCCGCCCCAACCCCAACGGCCUCAAGUUCGACAACCUCUACCUCGACAUGAACGGCAUCAUCCACCCCUGCUUCCACCCCGAGGGCCACGCACGAUCCUAUUCCCCCAUCCCCUCUGUCUUCUCGUCUUCUAAUCAACCCAUUCUGUGUUCGAUCUCACCAUGGAUUUGGACUCCCUCUCCUGCAGCCGGCACCGACCACUUACGACGAGGUGUUCAAGUCGAUUACUUUUGCAUAUAAGUGCGGCUCUGAAGGGGAAUUUCGUCGAACAAGAUGAAUGCGUUGCCAGGAACUUCAAGCAGGCGGCCAAACUGCUGGGCCUGGACUCCAAGCUGGAGAAGAACUUGCUCAUCCCAUUCAGGGAGAUCAAGGUUGAAUGCACAGUUCCGAAAGAUGAUGGGACUUUAGCAUCUUACAUGUUGGGUUUAGGGUUUAACAUGACAAUGUUAGGGGACCUAUGAAGGGUGGAAUCAGAUACCGCCAUGAGGAUGGUGAAAAAAAGCCUAUAUUCUGCUGUUAGACAAUUCAUAAUUAGGAAUUUGAUAUUUUAGGCCACCGACUGGGUCUUCGACACCACAGAGGACCGCGCCUGCCAAGGUGAUUAUCGCCUUGUUUAACCUCUCAGCAAGGUGGAUUAUUUUUAAUCAAUCCAAACAUGGCAUUGCGGUGAUUUCUCGUGGGAUCCAUGCGCCAUCCAGAUUAUGUUGCGCAGUAGUAGAGUUUGCAAGAAUUAUUUAUUUGUUAACAUAUACGCGCCAAACAAUUCCACCCAAAAGCCUUAAUCUGUGAAAAGAGGUUGGGUAAUCUACUCAAUACUUAACAACUAAUAUGCUGCACUGUUUAUGUUAAUCUGUAGCUUGGAUGAAUCUGAUGUAACAUAUUCUGAGUGCUUGGGUACAGUAAUUAUCACUAUGUACUAGACAAUACAUUUUGACCAUGCGAAGGUAUGUGGAAGGUGUUAUCGCUUUUUUUUUCUUAUAAAAGAUAUGCUGGUUGUUAGUGUUGCCAUUUUGAUUAUGACUCUACGUUGCUAUUUGCAUAUCAGUUAUCAGUGGAACUUUUACUUUUUAACCGUUGUACUGUAAGCCACUUCAAUACAGGCCAUCAUAUACAACUAGGGAGCACGUUUUCUUGUGUGCUACUGACAAAUAAAAUACAAAGUACAUUUCAAUGAGAUUUGUUUACAGCUUAUAAGUGAUGUUCUUUGUUUUACACCAUUUUUAGUCAUCGUACAAAAUUAGGCUGAAAUUGUUCUUAAUGCUAUUCUUUUCAGCACAAAAGUCCCUGUUGCUACUGUGCAUGAAGAUCUUUCCUCUGUGGCUCCUCCUCCUGUCCAUUGCCCUCGGUGUUAUAAAGUUACCAUUUGAUAUUUCUGGUCUGGGUAAUCUCCUAAUGUAAGGUGUUAGUUUGUUCUAUUAUUCUAUUCUCGAUUAUACAAGCUGUGGCUUUAAAGAAAUAGCAGUAGAUAUGAUAUGGACCAUUGAGGUCACUUCCAUAAACUUGGAUCUGGGUGUGCAACAUUUGUCAGUACACCAUUGCCCUCGGUGUUAUAAAGUUACCAUUUGAUAUUUCUUUGAUCUGAUCAAACAAAUCUUAAUCCUUCUUUCAUAGCACCAGCACUGUUGCAUCUUUUGCCUAAACAUAUUAUGUUAUUACGCUGUCACACUGUUGCUUGUCCUCUAUGUAUUGUCCCUAACAAAUUUUGCUGUAAACAUGUCCUGUCAAUAGUCAUAGCCAUCACUAACAAGUGAGCUACGUAUCUAUUUAUUUCAGUACACCAAAUUAUGUGCUAUUAUGAUGUUGCACUACAACAUCACAAUUGCACAUCCUCUAACUCUGCUUUAAUGCUCUAAAUAUACUCUGUUAACAAGGAUAUCCAUCGCUAUUAUUAGCUGCUAAUGAAUGAAUUGUAUCCAGGCGGCGCGCCCCAGGCUCUAGUACUCCGAAUUUUUUUCAUAUAAUAAUUAAUAACCUCAAAGUUAAAUAAAUAGUAAAUUCGAAUCAGUAAUUAGAAAAAUAGGAAGGACGUUGGGAGCAACAACGUCUCAAGUGGACGCUGGAGAGACGACGUCCUUUAAUGGACGCUGUAGGCUAGCACGUACAUCUAGCUGAUCCCAGCCUAGCCCAAGAACUCAUGCUGCAAAGGCCCAAGUAAAGUUCCUCCAAACAAAAACGGGAGAAAAAAAUGGCUUGCCUCACCUGCGCGUGUGCGUCGUCUGGAGAGCGCUCACCCUUCUCCACUUCUGUCCUCAUUCGCGCGGCAAGCCGGCGGCGGCGCGACGCCCCUCUCCUCUGCGCCCCUAUCCGUUUCUGUGCAUGGUUCCAGCCUGGUCCCUAGGUGAAUCCUAGCUUCCGAUUCCCUCUGCUACUGCCGCCGCACAGGUAUAAUCGAAGACCCCUUCCCCUGCUGCUGCCGCCGCCGCCGCCGCCCUCCAAUCCCUUUCUGCAAGGCCUUGCAUCUCCGGUGCCCUUGACUGCUCCUGCCCCUGUUGCUAUUUGAUUCCAUAUUGUAAUGCAGAAAUACUAGAUUAAUAUUAUUUAUAAAUUAGAAUGCAACCCAGUCUAUUGUGUUUAUCAAAUACAGCUAGAUAAGAUGGCCACCAAUGAUCGGUUCAGUGAUUUGUUAUGGAUGCCUCAUUGUCAGCAUAAAGUUUCCAAAAUAUGGGAUAGUCCUACUAAUUGCAUUAACAUACGGCUUCAUCGUGUCGGCAUUCCUUACCACUCAUUAUGUCAGACAGCUUUAGAGAAUCUUGGGUUCUUUCAGAUUGCACGGAUGAAGGAAAUCAAUAAUGAUAAAUAUUUGAUAUCAGCACUGGUGGAGCGCUGGCGACCUAAAACCAACACUUUUCACUUACCAGUGGGUGAGAUGACAAUUACGCUACAAGAUGUAAGUUGCUUAUGGGGUUUACCUAUCCAUGGUAGACCAAUUACUGGCCAAGCUGAUGGCUCAUGGGUUGAUAUGAUUGAACGGUUGCUUGGAAUUCCUAUGGAAGAACAACACAUGAAGCAGAAAAAAAGGAAAAAAGAGGAUGAUAUGACUAUGGUGAGUUACUCGCGGUACUCCAUCAGCUUAAGCAAGUUGCGUGACCGCUUUCGUGUAAUGCCAAAGAACGCAACAGAACGUGAGAUUAACUGGUAUACUCGAGCACUUGUUCUUGAUAUUAUUGGGUCCAUGGUUUUUACUGAUACAUCUGGAGAUGGUGUACCUGCAAUGUACCUCCAAUUUAUGAUGAACUUAAGUGAACAAACAGAGUACAAUUGGGGGGCUGCUGCACUUUCCAUGUUAUAUAGACAGUUAAGCAUAGCAUCUGAGAAGGAGAGAGCUGAAAUAUCUAGACCUUUAUUGUUACUGCAGUUGUGGUCUUGGUCACGUUUGCCACUUGGUCGACCUGUUAAGGCAAUGAAAAUCACGAAAGAAAGGGAAGAAGAAGAUGAACAGGAGGAAUUGGACUAUUGCCUUGUAUUUGGAGCAAAGUGGUGUCUCUCACAUGAAUUUCGUGCCCCACAUAAUGCGGGUACUGAAUAUUACCGAAGUCAAAUUAAUCUGAUUCGAGAAGGAGUAAUUGUUUGGCAGUAACCUUAUGGAUGAAAUGCCCAUCCAAAUUUGUAAUGAUCGUGCUUGGUGGUUUGCUAGAUUGCCCCUAAUUCAUUUCUGGAUUGUAGAGUUCCACUACUUAGAUAGGGUGAUGCGCCAAUUUGGUCGUCGAUAGAACAUUCCACCUCAUCCUCCAUAUGGCAAGGUUGAGCACCGCAAACUAUGUAAAAUCAAACAUGGAGGAAAAAUGCGCAGUUGGGAGAUAGUACAUGCUAAAUAUAUACACCAAUAUGACAAUUUGGAAGCAGUAAUGGUCCAAGAGGACCAACCUUUUGAUCCAGCUAGCUUGCCAGAGUAUAGACGUUGAUUCCAACAAAAUGGUAUGUAUAGUGUUUUUUCGAUGCUCAGUGCUUGGGAGGUCUUGAAAACCCAAUCCCAUAUCCCCGGGACAUAUUUGAAUGGACAGGCUACAUGCCCAGUGGUCCACCACUAGCACGAAUUAGCUUACAUGUGAUAAAGAAUGCUGCUUGGGGGAUCAAAUGUGCAAUUACUAAUAGCUGUAAGAAGUUAGGCAAGUCAAUACUCAAGACAUGCUUGGGUAAUUUGAGAGAUCUAAACCUAGAGCCUAGGUUGCAAAAUAUGCUCACUGAUGCUGGGUUGCCAAUCAAUAUUGAAGAUAUUCCGUCUGAUGAUGAUCUCUCAGCUCAUGUUCACCACCCAAGUCCUCCGAAAGACUCUAAUUCUGAUAUAUUUGAUGAAUGGGUGUACUCAGGAAGAGGUUUUGAAAGAUAUCUCCAUGCAGGUGGGAUAGCUGCAACACAAGACCUAGGCCAAGUGACACGGAUAGAUGAGUAGAGCUGUAGGUUUGAGAUUCUUUCGAUGUGUGAGUUGCUAAGAUAGUGGUCCAUGGGUUGUAAUAGUGAAAACUACAGCUUGUUAACAACGUGCUUGUUUUAGAUAAAUUAUUAUACUACUCCUAGGUUGCAGCUCUAAAGUUCAGUUUGUGUCGAAUUCUAUGUAGUGCAUGUGAGCUCUAAAUUUAUGUUCCAUGUGGGUGCCA